rnacentral:rRNA from 1 species
UACGAAGGGGGCUAGCGUUGCUCGGAAUCACUGGGCGUAAAGCGCACGUAGGCGGAUUGUUAAGUCGGGGGUGAAAUCCUGGAGCUCAACUCCAGAACUGCCUUCGAUACUGACGAUCUCGAGUCCGGGAGAGGUGAGUGGAACUCCGAGUGUAGAGGUGAAAUUCGUAGAUAUUAGGAGGAACACCGGUGGCGAAGGCGGCUAUCUGGACGACAACUGACGCUGAGGCGCGAAAGCGUGGGGAUCAAACAGG